UAUGAUUUGGAUCUAUGUCCGCACCCAAAUCUCAGGUGCAAUUGUGAUCCCCAGUAUUGGAGGUGGGACCUGGUGGGAGGGGACUGAAUGAUG